rnacentral:misc_RNA from 1 species
GAUGAAGAACGCAGCGAAAUGCGAUAAGUAAUGCGAAUUGCAGAAUUCAGUGAGUCAUCGAAUCUUUGAACGCACAUUGCGCCCUGUGGUAUUCCGCAGGGCAUGCCUGUUCGAGCGUCAUUUCAACCCUCAAGCCUCGCUUGGUGUUGGGCCCUGCCCGCCGCGGCCGGCCCUAAAGAUAGUGGCGGCGCCGCCUGGCCCUCAGCGUAGUACAGCUCUCGCUCCAGGGUCCGGCGGCAGCCUGCCAGAACCCCCCAACUCUGUGGUUGACCUCGGAUCAGGUAGGGAUACCCGCUGAACUUAAGCAUAUCAAUAGCGGAGGA